UUAAGUCAAUUUGUCACCGAUAAUUGUGUCAAAGUUUGCCAGGAGUACAAAACAAUAGUGAUAUUUGUUUGGGCGGUGCGCGGAAAAAAAUGAGGAAGAAAUACCACAGAAGGCAACUGAACAGAUGAGAGACAUACUCACAUCCCGCGGGGGCCCCUCACACCAACAAAAGCUUGCCAGGAGUCGCUCAUUAGUGGGCACUGGGGCUGGAGAGAAACUCUGCAGGUGACAUUGCUUCUGAGAGAUUGAGUGUUUUGGCAGCCGUCUGGGAACUAGUGACUUUGGCAUUCAGAUGGAGAUGGAGUGGAGGUGAAGAAGAGGCGAAGGAAGAAGGGAGCAGCUGCUAAAUUUGAAGGAUGGGGAGGGGGUGACCUCCUUCCUUCCUGCCCUCCAUCCAUUCUGGUUACUGAGUUCAGACUUUGCCAGUCAACAAAGGAGUCCCACACUGGCUUCAUCAAGCUGCUGCGCCCCCACGGAAUCCAAAUGGCUCUGUUACUUCAGCUAGAUAGUACACUCCAAUACAGGGAGCCUGCAGAGGACCAAAUAUGUUCCAUCUUUGCAACCCAAGGACAUCAAAGGAAGAUGACAGCUAAUCCAGGUCCUUGCCAUUUCUGUUGAAGAAGGAAUUCAUAGGGCCUGGAAUCCAUCUUAGGCAUGUUCAUGCUGAUCAUGCUCAGCCACCUCUCCAAUGGACUCUGAACUCUGUGUUUAGUGUCUAUGGAAAUGACAACAGAAGGAUAAGACCCCCUCUGGACAGGGGGAUCUUGAAGAUCUUAUCCAGGUUACUCAUCGCCUAAGAGAACACAUACACUAAUCACCCCUUCUUCCAGACAUGAAUUAGCCAUAAAGUUUUCUGUACCUGUCAGAGUGUAACCUCAUGCUUAUUGAUUAUUGGCUAAUUGUUUAACUGUCUGAGCACAUGGCACAUGAGUGAUGGGGUUACUGGGAUUGUAUUUACCCUUCCUUAGUUUAUGUAAGUCUCAAGGAAUUUGGGGUGGUGG